UGCUUCCCUUCAAUAGACUCCACAGUCUCCGGAAGCAGGGCUGGGGAAGAAACGGCAAACCAGGGAUCUUACCUGGGCCUUCCCAGUUGAGACUAAGUCAAAAUGGGUUCCCGUGAGUCUGCCUGGCUCAUGCAGAUGGAAGGCUAACCUCUUUUUAGAAACAACUCGUGCUACCCUCUCCUGUUUCAAAAGAGCUGUCUGGUCAGAAUGGUGGUAAGUUACCUUAGGAAGGGAGAGGCGUCGUCCUGUUUGUCAAAGUUAGCAAAGGUUCAAUUUAAAAGAAAAAUUCUCUAAGAAGUUAAAAAUAAAAGUGUGGGGAGAUUCCCAUGACAUCCAUUUUUAUCUAUUUUUCCCUUUCUCUUACAUUUCCCAAGAGGCAAACUUUCUAAAACAGUCUUAGUCUUUUCAAGUUUACAAAAGGCAGCACCCAGACUCUCUGAAUAAAAUGAUAGGGCGCCCGGGAGAAGGCUGCACCUCUUCCACGUGCACCCUGCCUGGCUCCAUGCUGUCGCGGGGUCUAGCUACUCACUCAGCGGGCAUUUUGGGAGUUCCAGGAACACAAACCCCAACAAGAUCCAAUCCAUGCCUUCCCGGAGUGCACAGUCCAGGACGUAACCCGGCGAACAAGCGGCAAUUACCCCCUGAGGACAUGGCUUCAUCCCCUGAGGACAUGGCUUCAUCCGUGCGACAGAUACCAAGCGCCUUCCCUACGCCCGUGACCAUAAGGUCGUCCCGGCCCUCCUGACGCGUGAAGCCGGCUUGGAACAGAGCCAAGACACACGGACGCGAUGCACACAGGCGUCCUGACGGAGGGCACCGAGAACUCGGCCUCGGCGACUGCCACAGGCCCCUCCGCCUGGACUAGCGGCUCCCCUUCCCCGCCCCCACACAGCGGAGGGCGCAGCAAACGCCCACCGCGGACUGUGGGCCUUGGAUUCGGAUUCGGAGGCGCCUUGGAUUCGGAUUCGGAGGCUCCUCGGAACGAGGGGGUGGGAGCAGGCGGAAUCCAACCCGGGCGGCUUUGCCACCACGCGCCCGGCCUCCCCGCCACAGGGAAGCGGCGCCAUCUCCGCAGGUGCGCGGUGGACGCCUGCAUCCCUCGGGCCCGGGGCUGUCGGGCGCUACACAUCCACCUCCUUGACUUGGCCUGGGCCGUGCCAAGUCUCGGCAGGGUUGAGCUUCCCCGUGCGGCGCGGGCUCCGGCACUGCCCGCAGUGCGGGACACGCCCAAGGCUCGGAUGGGAGCCGACGCUGCGGGAGCGGCACCUGCAGGGAGCGCCGGGAGCCGAGGCCGCGGAGGGAGGGGCGGGCGCGGCCGGCGGGGAUGCGGGGUCGCGGGAGGGGCCCGCAGGCCAGGCCAGAGCUGGGGGCGGCCCGAGGCCCAAGCUGGCCAGCUAGGGUGGGUAGGGCGGACCCGGGUGGGGACCGCAAGCCCCGGGAACAAGUGCGGGAGCGGCGGGUCCCGGCGGCACUCACCGAGCCUGGGCGCCGGGGCGGCGGCGGCCGGCGCGCGGCCCUCUCGCGGGGUCCCCUCCCUCGGCCACCCGGGCUCUGCUCCAGCCUCGCAGUGGCGGAAGCACUGACAGCUGCGUGGCUGCCCUGGAGGGGAGGGGGCGCCUGCGACCCGCGACUGGCGGACGCACCGGCCGUUCCGGCUCCAGCAGGGGGCGCGGCGGCUCGCGCGUGCGCAGUCGGCCGCCCCUGCAGGUGCCCGGUCCACCCCCGGCCGCCUCGGCCGCUCCGGCCAGCCCAACCCCGCGCCUGCGCAGUGCCCCGUGCAUCUCGCCCUUGCCCAGCAGAGGGCGCGCUGUCUUGCGCGUGCGCAGUCGGCCACCUUGAGAGGACGCGGUUCGCACCCGGCCGCGCGGCAGCCGGUGACUGCGCCUAUGUCCAGAAGGAGGCGCGCAGCGGCGGUAGCCGAGCGAGGGCGCGGCGCUCUGACAGGAAUGGCUGUGCGCACAUGCGGUUCACAGCGGUAGAAAUCUUCACACCUGGAAAUUAGACUUUGGCCCUUUCUCCAUUUCUCCUUAUGCCCUGUCUUUCCUUGGGCCCUCGUCACUCCUGGCACCGAGGGAAGCGCUUCCCCGCCUCUGGCCGGGCGCUGAGGCACGACCGAAAGCGAGGCGGCGGCGAGGAACCUUCUGGAAUUCGGCCGUCGGGGCAGGCGUCGAGUUUACAGGAAAAGACGCAGUGUCCCGGGAUGAGCGGAGUCGCCCUCAGUUGAGGAGCGAGGGAGGCUUCGGGGGUCGCCAGCCGGUUUUAGGCUAUUCUUCAGUGCCUUUGUUUGAACAUUAUAUAAUUGAUGAUCCCAAAGCUUUCUAUAUAUUGGAAUUGUUUUUGACCAUAGCAUCAAUAACAGCAAUGGAUCUUUGCCACUUGCGGUUAAUUAUAAAUUGCGCUUCAGUUACUUUCAGAAGAAUUUUAUACUGGGGAAGAAUAUAUUUUUUCAAGAUGACAAAGAAGGCUGGUGCACAUCCUUUCUUUACCCUCUGAAUCCAUGCCAAGAACUCUGGGAAUUUCCAUUUGCUGAUGGGGGAAGUCCUGGUGAGAAAGCCCCGAAGCCUGUUCAUGUUAAGAGCAUGGCUGUGGCUGGACGUGGUGGCUCACACCUGUAAUCCCAGCACUUUAGGAGGCUGAGGCAGGUGGAUUACCUGAGGCUGGGAGUUCGAGACCAGCCUUACCAACUGGUCUUACCAACAGCCUUACCAAGAUGGAGAAACUCCGUCUCUACUAAAAAUACAAAAUUA